rnacentral:rRNA from 1 species
UGGGGAAUAUUGGACAAUGGGCGAAAGCCUGAUCCAGCCAUGCCGCGUGUGUGAAGAAGGUCUUCGGAUUGUAAAGCACUUUAAGUUGGGAGGAAGGGCAUUAACCUAAUACGUUAGUGUUUUGACGUUACCGACAGAAUAAGCACCGGCUAACUCUGUGCCAGCAGCCGCGGUAAUACAGAGGGUGCAAGCGUUAAUCGGAAUUACUGGGCGUAAAGCGCGCGUAGGUGGUUUGUUAAGUUGGAUGUGAAAUCCCCGGGCUCAACCUGGGAACUGCAUUCAAAACUGACAAGCUAGAGUAUGGUAGAGGGUGUGGAAUUUCCUGUGUAGCGGUGAAAUGCGUAGAUAUAGGAAGGAACACCAGUGGCGAAGGCGACCACCUGGACUGAUACUGACACUGAGGUGCGAAAGCGUGGGGAGCAAACAGGAUUAGAUACCCUAGUAGUCCCUGAGCGGGC